GGCUUGUCUUAUCUCAGAUACAAUAGGUGUUCUUGCUGAUGCUCUAAGAUAUUUUUUAAGUCAACAGUGUGCCAAUGGUAUCCCAAAAUAUCAAAUAAAAAGAUCCACACAUCUUGCUUUCACCAGCUCCUCUAUGUCCAACCCAGGCAAUGCCCACUGCAGCCGAAUGUCCCUGGUGCAUCUCUACAACGCUGUGAAGAAAUCACACCCGUGUUUAACCAAAAUUGCUUAACAGAAGCUAGAAAUGAAAACUAACCAAAUACUCACAAGGGGAGGAGUGGGUCCUUUGGGCUGCAAAGGCUGGUGUGAUCCAGGUGGAAGUUUCCCUCUGAGGCAAGAGGCGCUGAGGGAACCAAGGCCCAGGGCCUCCUCGCCGCCAUUUUGUUUCACUCAAGACAGCGGGUUCUAAAUGAACCCAAUGCCUUGGCCAUGGCAGCCGCUCCUCUGAGAGCCUGAGCAGGGUGUGUGGAGGUAGCCUUGGACCAGGGGCUGAGUUGCUGGAUCAAGCAGGAGGCACUGGGAUUAAUCUCUGAGCAGAUCGGGGGCCCACACCCACUGAGCACCAGCAGCAUGUUGCUACCACAGGAAGCACUUCUGUGCUGUGCAUCCUGCUUCAAGACAACACUCUGUGCUUGGUUUUGUGAAGAAACAAAGAAGACUUGCCCAGGAUCCCUUUUGCUGUUGCAUUUUGGAUGCCAGAUGGCUGGAGGGAGUUCCAGCAGGCAAUUUCUUAAUGAGAGAGCCGCUGCCCAAUAUCAUUGACAUCCAUCAGCUGCAGCAUCUACCCUGCUGAGGCAUCCAAGAAAAACAGAGAUUUUUACCAAUGACUUCACCAGAUCAGCCUCAGCUUUUUACAGUUUAUGAAGCAUCAUUUGCUCCUGUUCAGUUCAGCACAUCUAAUCAGGACUAACUUUGCUUUGACAUUUCAGUGAUGACUAAUAAAAUAACACAGGAGGUAAGGAUCCCA
rnacentral:lncRNA from 1 species